AUUGAACGCUGGCGGCAGGCCUAACACAUGCAAGUCGAGCGGAUGAAGGGAGCUUGCUCCUGGCUUCAGCGGCGGACGGGUGAGUAAUGCCUAGGAAUCUGCCUGGUAGUGGGGGAUAACGUCCGGAAACGGGCGCUAAUACCGCACACGUUCUGAGGGAGAAAGUGGGGGAUCUUCGGACCUCACGCUAUCUGAUGAGCCUAGGUCGGAUUAGCUAGUUGGUGAGGUAAAGGCCUACCGAGGCGACGAUCCGUAACUGGUCUGAGAGGCUGAUCAGGCACACUGGAACGGAGACACGGUCCAGACUCCUACGGGAGGCAGCAGUGGGGAAUAUUGGACAAUGGGCGAAAGCCUGAUCCAGCCAUGCCGCGUGUGUGAAGAAGGUCUUCGGAUUGUAAAGCACUUUAAGUUGGGAGGAAGGGCAGUAAGUUAAUACCUUGCUGUUUUGACGUUACCAACAGAAUAAGCACCGGCUAACUUCGUG
rnacentral:rRNA from 1 species